rnacentral:rRNA from 1 species
AGUGAACGCUGGCGGUAGGCCUAACACAUGCAAGUCGAACGGCAGCACAGUAAGAGCUUGCUCUUACGGGUGGCGAGUGGCGGACGGGUGAGGAAUACAUCGGAAUCUACUUUUUCGUGGGGGAUAACGUAGGGAAACUUACGCUAAUACCGCAUACGACCUACGGGUGAAGGCAUGGGAUCUUCGGACCUUGCGCGAUUGAAUGAGCCGAUGUCGGAUUAGCUAGUUGGCGGGGUAAAGGCCCACCAAGGCGGCGAUCCGUAGCCGGUCUGAGAGGAUGAUCGGCCACACUGGAACUGGGACACGGUCCAGACUCCUACGGGAGGCAGCAGUGGGGAAUAUUGGACAAUGGGCGCAAGCCUGAUCCAGCCAUACCGCGUGGGUGAAGAAGGCCUUCGGGUUGUAAAGCCCUUUUGUUGGGAAAGAAAAGCAGCAGGUUAAUACCCCGCUGUUCUGACGGUACCCAAAGAAUAAGCACCGGCUAACUUCGUG